GGGUCUCAGCUGGGUGGGCCUGCGCAUGCGGCCUUCUUCACAGGAGCUCUCCCCGCCGGAGGAGCUGGAUGUGUACUGUGAGAGAGAGAGCAGUUAACGUGGCGACCCUGUCAUGGCAGUUUCCCCGGGAGCCCAGCUGUGUGUGGCAGGUGGUGGAGGCCCCUGACCGGACGCGGGCUACUGACGGCCACCCUGGUUGACCUCCCACAUGUGGGCCACUCAGGGGGUGCCAUGCCAGCGUGCCCAGUCUCACAUCACCGUUGCAUUUGGGAAGGGGAAGCCCUGUGUGGCACACUGGGGAAGCAGAAGCUGCUCAGGAAAGGAGGUGACCAUCCAGGCCCCGCCUCACCAGCUAAGGGCUGCUGGGUCACCAGUGUUUGGCACCCUGUGCCAUGGAACACUGGUUAGGAAGCACUAUUUAAAGAUAAAAAAGGUACAAAACGGAGAAGGAGAAAAAAAGGCCCCCACAUCAGCAGCUGCCCCUGCCACUGAGUGGCCGCGAUCACGACAGUUUCCUCAAAUACUGGUCACCCUGCCACUGUCCUGGCUUGGCCUCCGCCUGAGAAAAUGAGCCCAGUGAUUUCUAGCAGACUCGGUAUCAUCCAGGAACCACUGACUGCCAGGACAAAAGCAGCAGCCAGGGAAUGACUCCUGGACAUGCAGCAGGGGAGAGGCCCUGAGAGCAGGGAGCUGAGAAUACUCUGGCGCCAACCCUGUGAGGGACACAGUCUCCAUCUACACAGGACCAAGGCAGUGCAUGAGAAACACAGUAUUUUCCAUCCCUCCAGUGUUUUUCCUCUUGAGGUAGCAAUCCAUUUAUAAUCUAAAAGCGGACCAAGUGCUUCUGGUCAGGGGUCCAGGCUGGGUGACCGGGGCCAGCACCAGGUGUGGGGAGGGGACAUGACUUUGUAUCAGCCCCAAGGUUUCCCUGCCCCAAAGUGGACCCUGAGCCACGUGCUGUCAGCUCCAAGUCGCAUCUCCUGAUGCUGAGGGAUUGGCAACAUUGAUUUGGCUUUUUCUGACUCCGUUCCAGGGCACAGCUCCAAAGACUCCCUCAUCCACCACACCCCGCUGUGACUCCUUACCUUCGUCUUCUUUUUCUUCAUCCUCAAGACUCGCGAUGCAAUCUGGAUGGUGGACAAGGUCUCUGCGUAGCUCCCGGCCGCGGCCGAGAUGUGUGCGAUCAUGGUGGUACGGCAGUUCAUGUUCCCCAGAGACUCCCGCAGCAACAUGGCGAGCUUGCUCUCUCUGCCAAACAAAGUGAAUUAGGCUGCAUUAGCGGCCAUGCUUCCCUGUGGUCCUCAGGGCAGGGCUUCAGGCCUGCACAUGGCCAUUUUGUUGUGGGUGGUGGUCCCCCCCUUUUUAAUGGCAUACUAAUUAGCAUCGUUUUCCAGCAUGGGGCCAUUUGUAGUUGGCAAGCACUGAGCAAGUGCUUCUAACUCCAGGACGGGAUUCAUGCAAAGCACCUCCCUUGGCGCUUCUGUCCUGGCUGUGAUGGGUGUUCCUGUGCGUGUGUGUCUAUGACAUUACACAUAAUGAGGCCUGGGAAUAGAAACGAGAGGACGGGAUCUGGAGAAACAGCUCUGUGACUGGUGACUCGGCAUGCUAACUGCACGUGUGGCCUUUCUCCAGGGUUCCCACACACAAACAAUCCCACACAAAAAGAGUCUCCCUACCAGGGCCCUGGAUUGAAGAUCUAUGAGUUUUUAACACCUGCACAGUUCCUUUAGCCAGGAAGCUGCGGCCACUUUAUUGGCAUUGUCCCUUAACUCGCAUAUUUGCACCUAGGAGCAGUGAAAGAAAAGGCAUUCCUAUUCCUGAAGACCAGGGGAGAAACAGAGAGAGAGGCCCAGCCAGUCACUCAAUCCACAACAGAAAGCAGCACUUCCUAUGGAAAGGCUUCCUCUGGGGACUCUGCAGAUGCUGUGUGGGGCCACUGCCCUGAGUGGUGAUAAUGAGGCCCUGGGGUUUGCAGGGAGCGUUGCUAAGUCUUUGAACUGACCUGGAAAAAUGGUUGUUUUUCUAUUCCUAUACUCGUCCCAACAUUUUUCCUGCCUUGCCUUUAAAGGCCUCUGCUUAUUUCAUCAUCAGCACUCGUUCUCUCAACUGCUGCCAAAUGUCAUUGCAUCUCUGGCACGUUCCCUGAUCCUGAAGGAUGAGGAAGCCUAUUUCCCAUGCCGCGUGCUCAUAUAUCUAUGCUGUGUCUGCGAUGCCAGAUGAGAGGAAUUUGUCCCACGUCCAUGUCUCAUCAUCCAGCCCCUGCAAAGCUCCCUGGAGAGGGACGAUCCAGCUCAGCAGACACUGAGGGAGACUCAGGCCACUGUCAGCAGAGAGCAGACCAUCUUACGUGACCUGCUUCUGGCCUCAGGGAGGGAAGACUGUGGGGUAAGAGCAAUAGCUUUUCCUUCCCAUCGGGGACCAAUUAAGGUGUGAGUUUGGAGACGCUGGGCUCACUAAGGCUCAGUUCCAGAGCAAUGUAAGAAUAUACCAGAGCUUCCCUUCCAGCAAAAUGACCAGUGAUGAAAGUGGUGAGGUACGGGGUAUAGAGGAGGAGCAAGAGCUGUGAACGUUUAAAUCCCUUCAAAAUGUUGUCUAUCUAGCAGAAAUUCAUGGACAGCACACUCAACGAGGAAGCCAGACCCCAUUCCUGGAAUACAUUUUUUGCAGAGACACUGCACCUGGAUGCAUCUUGGGCUCUGUCUUCCAUAUGGGCAGUGGAGGGUGAGUUCUGCUCGGCUGGGUUGUGAUCAUACAGUCAGGUCUUACAUGAGUAGUGGAGGGCGAGUUCUGCUCGGUUGGGUUGUGUUCAUACAGUCAGGUCUUACAUGAGUAGUGGAGGGCGAGUUCUGCUCGGUUGGGUUGUGAUCAUACAGUCAGGUCUUACAUGAGUAGUGGAGGGCGAGUUCUGCUCGGUUGGGUUGUGUUCAUACACAGUCAGGUCUUACAUGAGUAGUGGAGGGCGAGUUCUGCUCGGUUGGGUUGUGUUCAUACACAGUCAGGUCUUACAUGAGUAGUGGAGGGCGAGUUCUGCUCGGUUGGGUUGUGUUCAUACACAGUCAGGUCUUACAUGAGUAGUGGAGGGCGAGUUCUGCUCGGUUGGGUUGUGAUCAUACAGUCAGGUCUUACAUGAGUAGUGGAGGGCGAGUUCUGCUCGGUUGGGUUGUGAUCAUACAGAGUCAUGUCUU